rnacentral:rRNA from 1 species
UACGUAGGGUGCAAGCGUUAAUCGGAAUUACUGGGCGUAAAGCGUGCGCAGGCGGUUAUGUAAGACAGGUGUGAAAUCCCCGGGCUUAACCUGGGAACUGCAUUUGUGACUGCAUAGCUAGAGUACGGUAGAGGGGGAUGGAAUUCCGCGUGUAGCAGUGAAAUGCGUAGAUAUGCGGAGGAACACCGAUGGCGAAGGCAAUCCCCUGGACCUGUACUGACGCUCAUGCACCAAAGCGUGGGGAGCAAACAGG